rnacentral:rRNA from 1 species
GGCUCAGGACGAACGCUGGCGGCGUGCCUAAUACAUGCAAGUCGAACGAACUCUGGUAUUGAUUGGUGCUUGCAUCNAUGAUUUACAAUUGAGUGNAGUGGCGAACUGGUGAGUAACACGUGGGAAACCUGCCCAGAAGCGGGGGAUAACACCUGGAAACAGAUGCUAAUACCGCAUAACAACUUGGACCGCAUGGUCCGAGCUUGAAAGAUGGCUUCGGCUAUCACUUUUGGAUGGUCCCGCGGCGUAUUAGCUAGAUGGUGGGGUAACGGCUCACCAUGGCAAUGAUACGUAGCCGACCUGAGAGGGUAAUCGGCCACAUUGGGACUGAGACACGGCCCAAACUCCUACGGGAGGCAGCAGUAGGGAAUCUUCCACAAUGGACGAAAGUCUGAUGGAGCAACGCCGCGUGAGUGAAGAAGGGUUUCGGCUCGUAAAACUCUGUUGUUAAAGAAGAACAUAUCUGAGAGUAACUGUUCAGGUAUUGACGGUAUUUAACCAGAAAGCCACGGCUAACUACGUGCCAGCAGCCGCGGUAAUACGUAGGUGGCAAGCGUUGUCCGGAUUUAUUGGGCGUAAAGCGAGCGCAGGCGGUUUUUUAAGUCUGAUGUGAAAGCCUUCGGCUCAACCGAAGAAGUGCAUCGGAAACUGGGAAACUUGAGUGCAGAAGAGGACAGUGGAACUCCAUGUGUAGCGGUGAAAUGCGUAGAUAUAUGGAAGAACACCAGUGGCGAAGGCGGCUGUCUGGUCUGUAACUGACGCUGAGGCUCGAAAGUAUGGGUAGCAAACAGGAUUAGAUACCCUGGUAGUCCAUACCGUAAACGAUGAAUGCUAAGUGUUGGAGGGUUUCCGCCCUUCAGUGCUGCAGCUAACGCAUUAAGCAUUCCGCCUGGGGAGUACGGCCGCAAGGCUGAAACUCAAAGGAAUUGACGGGGGCCCGCACAAGCGGUGGAGCAUGUGGUUUAAUUCGAAGCUACGCGAAGAACCUUACCAGGUCUUGACAUACUAUGCAAAUCUAAGAGAUUAGACGUUCCCUUCGGGGACAUGGAUACAGGUGGUGCAUGGUUGUCGUCAGCUCGUGUCGUGAGAUGUUGGGUUAAGUCCCGCAACGAGCGCAACCCUUAUUAUCAGUUGCCAGCAUUAAGUUGGGCACUCUGGUGAGACUGCCGGUGACAAACCGGAGGAAGGUGGGGAUGACGUCAAAUCAUCAUGCCCCUUAUGACCUGGGCUACACACGUGCUACAAUGGAUGGUACAACGAGUUGCGAACUCGCGAGAGUAAGCUAAUCUCUUAAAGCCAUUCUCAGUUCGGAUUGUAGGCUGCAACUCGCCUACAUGAAGUCGGAAUCGCUAGUAAUCGCGGAUCACCAUGCCGCGGUGAAUACGUUCCCGGGCCUGUACACACC